rnacentral:tRNA from 1 species
GGGCCUGUAGCUCAGUUGGGAGAGCGCCUCGUUCGCAAUGAGGAGGUCAGCGGUUCGAUUCCGCUCAGGUCCACCA